UACGUAGGGGGCAAGCGUUGUCCGGAUUUAUUGGGCGUAAAGAGCUCGUAGGCGGUUUGUCGCGUCUGCCGUGAAAGUCCGGGGCUCAACUCCGGAUCUGCGGUGGGUACGGGCAGACUAGAGUGAUGUAGGGGAGACUGGAAUUCCUGGUGUAGCGGUGAAAUGCGCAGAUAUCAGGAGGAACACCGAUGGCGAAGGCAGGGUCUCUGGGCAUUAACUGACGCUGAGGAGCGAAAGCAUGGGGAGCGAACAGG
rnacentral:rRNA from 1 species